rnacentral:rRNA from 1 species
UACGUAGGGUGCAAGCGUUAUCCGGAAUUAUUGGGCGUAAAGAGCUCGUAGGCGGUUUGUCGCGUCUGCUGUGAAAACCCGAGGCUCAACCUCGGGCCUGCAGUGGGUACGGGCAGACUAGAGUGCGGUAGGGGAGAUUGGAAUUCCUGGUGUAGCGGUGAAAUGCGCAGAUAUCAGGAGGAACACCGAUGGCGAAGGCAGGUCUCUGGGCCACUACUGACGCUGAGAAGCGAAAGCAUGGGGAGCGAACAGG